rnacentral:rRNA from 1 species
UUUGACGUUAGCGACAGAAGAAGCACCGGCUAACUCCGUGCCAGCAGCCGCGGUAAUACGGAGGGUGCGAGCGUUAAUCGGAAUUACUGGGCGUAAAGCGCAUGCAGGUGGUUUGUUAAGUCAGAUGUGAAAGCCCGGGGCUCAACCUCGGAAUUGCAUUUGAAACUGGCAGACUAGAGUACUGUAGAGGGGGGUAGAAUUUCAGGUGUAGCGGUGAAAUGCGUAGAGAUCUGAAGGAAUACCGGUGGCGAAGGCGGCCCCCUGGACAGAUACUGACACUCAGAUGCGAAAGCGUGGGGAGCAAACAGGAUUAGAUACCCUGGUAGUCCACGCCGUAAACGAUGUCUACUUGGAGGUUGUGGCCUUGAGCCGUGGCUUUCGGAGCUAACGCGUUAAGUAGACCGCCUGGGGAGUACGGUCGCAAGAUUAAAACUCAAAUGAAUUGACGGGGGCCCGCACAAGCGGUGGAGCAUGUGGUUUAAUUCGAUGCAACGCGAAGAACCUUACCUACUCUUGACAUCCAGAGAACUUUCCAGAGAUGGAUUGGUGCCUUCGGGAACUCUGAGACAGGUGCUGCAUGGCUGUCGUCAGCUCGUGUUGUGAAAUGUUGGGUUAAGUCCCGCAACGAGCGCAACCCUUAUCCUUGUUUGCCAGCGAGUAAUGUCGGGAACUCCAGGGAGACUGCCGGUGAUAAACCGGAGGAAGGUGGGGACGACGUCAAGUCAUCAUGGCCCUUACGAGUAGGGCUACACACGUGCUACAAUGGCGCAUACAGAGGGCGGCCAACUUGCGAAAGUGAGCGAAUCCCAAAAAGUGCGUCGUAGUCCGGAUUGGAGUCUGCAACUCGACUCCAUGAAGUCGGAAUCGCUAGUAAUCGUGGAUCAGAAUGCCACGGUGAAUACGUUCCCGGGCCUUGUACACACCGCCCGUCACACCAUGGGAGUGGGCUGCAAAAGAAGUAGGUAGUUUAACCUUCGGGGGGACGCUUACCACUUUGUGGUUCAUGACUGGGGUGAAGUCGUAACAAGGUAGCGCUAGGGGAACCUGGCGCUG